AUUGAACGCUGGCGGCAUGCCUUACACAUGCAAGUCGAACGGCAGCACGGAGCUUGCUCUGGUGGCGAGUGGCGAACGGGUGAGUAAUAUAUCGGAACGUACCCAAGAGUGGGGGAUAACGUAGCGAAAGUUACGCUAAUACCGCAUACGAUCUCAGGAUGAAAGCAGGGGACCUUCGGGCCUUGUGCCCCUGGAGCUGCCGAUAUCUGAUUAGCUAGUUGGUGGGGUAAAGGCCCACCAAGGCAACGAUCAGUAGCUGGUCUGAGAGGACGACCAGCCACACUGGAACUGAGACACGGUCCAGACUCCUACGGGAGGCAGCAGUGGGGAAUAUUGGACAAUGGGGGGAACCCUGAUCCAGCCAUGCCGCGUGUGUGAAGAAGGCCUUAUGGUUGUAAAGCACUUUAAGCGAGGAGGAGGCUCUUUUGGUUAAUACACAAGAUGAGUGGACGUUACUCGCUGAAUAAGCACCGGCUAACUCUGUGCCAGCAGCCGCCGCAG
rnacentral:rRNA from 1 species